CCUACGGGUGGCAGCAGUGAGGAAUAUUGGUCAAUGGGCGGGAGCCUGAACCAGCCAAGCCGCGUGAGGGAAGAAGGUACAGCGUAUCGUAAACCUCUUUUGUCAGGGAACAAAGGCCGGGACUAGUCCCCGGAUGAGGGUCCCUGAAGAAAAAGCAUCGGCUAAGUCCGUGCCAGCAGCCGCGGUAAUACGGAUGAUGCGAGCGUUAUCCGGAUUUAUUGGGUUUAACGGGUGCGCAGGCGGCCUGUUAAGUUAGCGGUAAAAGCUAGGGGCGCAACCCCGGCGAGCCGUUGAAACUGGCGGGCUGGAGUUGGAGAGAGGUAUGCGGAAUGCGUGGUGUAGCGGUGAAAUGCAUAGAUAUCACGCAGAACUCCGAUUGCGAAGGCAGCAUACCGGCGCCCAACUGACGCUGAGGCACGAAAGCGUGGGUAUCGAACAGGAUUAGAUACCCCAGUAGUC
rnacentral:rRNA from 1 species